rnacentral:snoRNA from 1 species
CUGCAGUUAAGCCAAUCAAGUCUCUUUCCUUCCAGGGGCCUGGUGUUCGGUGGACACUCACAGCAGCCUCCUUAGGAAUGUAUGCAGCCUGUUGCCUAUGUGGAUGGCUCUAAGCGACCUUGGAGACAUUU